UGGCUCAGCAGUUAAGAGCACUGGCUGCUCUUCCAGAGGUCCUGGGUUCAAUUCCCAG
rfam:Mus musculus chromosome 9, GRC primary reference assembly.